rnacentral:rRNA from 1 species
CAUGUAGGCGGAUUAAUAAGUUUGAAGUGAAAUCCUAUAGCUUAACUAUAGAACUGCUUUGAAAACUGUUAAUCUAGAAUGUGGGAGAGGUAGAUGGAAUUUCUGGUGUAGGGUAAAUCCGUAGAGAUCAGAAGGAAUACCGAUUGCGAAGGCGAUCUACUGGAACAUUAUUGACGCUGAGAUGCGAAGCGUGGGGAGCAAACA